rnacentral:rRNA from 1 species
AUUGAACGCUGGCGGCAUGCCUAAUACAUGCAAGUCGAACGGUAACAGGACGCUGUGAUCCCUUCGGGGUGAACUUGUCGCUGACGAGUGGCGGACGGGUGAGUAAUGCUUGGGAAUCUGCCCAGUAGUGGGGGACAACACGGGGAAACUCGUGCUAAUACCGCAUACGUCCUACGGGAGAAAGUGGGGGAUCUUCGGACCUCACGCUAUUGGAUGAGCCCAAGUCGGAUUAGCUUGUUGGUAGGGUAACGGCCUACCAAGGCGACGAUCCGUAGCUGGUCUGAGAGGACGAUCAGCCACACUGGGACUGAGACACGGCCCAGACUCCUACGGGAGGCAGCAGUAGGGAAUAUUGGACAAUGGGGGCAACCCUGAUCCAGCAAUGCCGCGUGUGUGAAGAAGGCCUGCGGGUUGUAAAGCACUUUCAGUAGAGAAGAAAAGCCUAGGGUUAAUACCCCUGAGUCUUGACGUAACCUACAGAAGAAGCACCGGCUAACUCCGUG